GUUCAAAUGAGGAAGGGCUUACAAUGGAUACCUAGGCACCCAGAGAUGAGGAAGGGUGUGGUAAGCGACAAAAUGCUUCGGGGAGUUGAAAAUGAGCAUAGAUCCGGAUAUUCCCAAAUAGGUUAACCUUUUUAACUACUGCUUAAUCCAUGGGAAGGAAAGAGACAAGCUGGCGAACUGAAACAUCUUAGUAGCUAGAGGAAUAGAAAGAAAAAUUGAUUCCCAUAGUAGCGGUGAGUGAAAUGGGAGAAGCCUAAACCAUGAAAAUGGGGUUGCGGUAGAGCACAAUAUAAGCUCUGUGCUGCUAGGUGAAGCAGUUGAUUCCUGCACCCUAAGUGGUGAGAGUCCAGUAGCCAAAAGAAUCAUUGGGUUAUGCUCUAACCCGGGUAGCAUGGGGCACGUGGAAUCCCUUGUGAAUCAGCAAGGACCACCUUGCAAGGCUAAAUACUCUUGGGUGACCAAUAGCGAAGUAGUACCAUGAGGGAAAGGUGAAAAGAACCCCCAUCGGGGAGUGAAAUAGAACAUGAUACCGUAAGCUCCCAAGAAGUGGGAGGAAAAUGAUAUCUCUGACUUCAUGCCUAUUGAAGAAUGAGAUGAUGACUUAUAGGUAGUGGCUUGGUUAAGGGAACCCACCGGAGCCGUAGUGAGAGCGAGUCUUCAUGGGGAAAUUGCUACUGCUUAUGGAACCAAACCUGGUUGAUCUAUCCAUGACCAAGAUGAAGCUUGGGUGAAACUAAGUGGAGGUCUGAACCGACUGAUGCUGAAAAAUCAACAAAAGAGUCAUUGUUAGGGUUGAAAUGCCACUCGAACCCAGAGAUAGAUCAUUCUCCCCGAAAUGCAAUGAGGUGCAGAAGUUGACUGGACCAUCUAGGGGUAAAGCACUAUUUCGGUAUGGGGCGUGAGAGUGGUACCAAAUCGAGGCAAAAUCUAAAUACUAGAUUGCCCCAAUAAAAGGAUCAAGCGCUCUUGCAUCGAAAAUGAACGGGACUAAUCAAUUUUCCGAAGCUGUGGGAUGUAAAAAUAAAUCGGUAGGGGAGCAUUCCACCUCAGAGGGAAGCACCGGCACGAGAAGGUGUGGACGAAGCGGAAGUGAGAAUGUGUCAUCUUGAGUAACGCAAACAUUGGUGAGAAUCUAAUGCCCUAGAAACCUAAGGGUUCCUCUGCAAGGUUCAUCCACGGAGGGUGAGUCAGGGCCUAAGAUCAUGCCAAAAGGAAUAGUAGAUGGACAACAGGUUAAUAUUCCUGUACUACCCCUUGUUGGUCUUGAGGGACAGAGGAGGAUAGGUUAGCUGAAAAAUGGUUAUUGGUUCAAGGACACAAUGUGACCCUCUAUAAAUUGAUUCAAAGGUAAAAGAAGAAUCAAAUAUAGGUGUGUACAAGGUGAGGUUGGGGGUGGAUAUUCCUUAUCAUCUACUCUAGCACACAAAAAUCCAAGAGGGCUUAUCCAAACAUUAUAGGAUGCAAAAAAUCAUGUAGGAGCGCCCAUAUCAUCAAUGAGGGUGAGUAUACCUCCUAGGAGAUAUGUUAACCAUAUUGUAUUAGAUUCUUCCAUCUGUGAUAUUUACAAUUGUUUGGAGGAAGUGAUGUGUGAUACUUUGUUGGAUGAGUGUGAUGUUUGGGGGGUAGUUCCUUUCUGGGAGCUAGUGGUUGAUUUUGAGAUUGCAACGUGCUCAAAUUUGCAGAAGGAAAGUUUGUUUGAGUUGCAAAGAGAACAAAAAAUAUGUUGGUGAAAACACUUUCCUCAUAAAGAGGGUGUGUUUUCUUUCGAGGUUACUCGUAAAUUGUUUUAUUGAGUUGCAAAGGAAGCAUAAAGAUGUUGGUGAAAACACUUUCCUCAUAAAGAGGGAGUGUUUUCUUUCGAGGUUACACCAUACUUAAGGGUGCUUCAUGUGAUGUAGGGUGCAUGGUGUAUCUAUAACCCUUAGUUGACGUAAUGGACAUACACAUUGGAGUUAGGUUUCCCAUUGAUUGUAAGACCUUGUCUUGAUGCAUAUGUGGCAUUGUUCCUUGGAGAAUUGGUGACCUACAUGUCUAGUGUCUUUCUUCAUGAGACAAAAAUGGAGUUCGAUUGCUUCCUUGGGAUGAUGGUUUUCCUUGGAAGAGGAUAAUUGGGCAUCUUGGAGGAGGGAAUUGAACCCUAGAUGGCAUUGGGACACUUGGUUUCUUACAUGGAGACUUGGCCUUGACUGGAGGACACUUGGGUUGAAAACCAAUCAUGUAAGUGGCAUUGACCCAGAGGUAUACAUGGCCUAAGAGGGAGUGUUGGAGAAUUGUAUACCUUUGGAGGAGGAGUGUUACACACACCUCGUGGAGCGUUCAACGUUCAAUACUUGUUUGUUGGAUGUGCUUCCCUUGGAGCUUGGCAUGUGUGAGUUGGAGUUGGAGUGCUCCACAUGUGGGGAUAUUUAGUAAUUAGAUAGAUGUUUUUUUGUGGAUUUGACCCACUUUAUGAUUUUUUCCUUCCUUGACUUUCAUAUAAAUAAAUUGAGAAGGUAUUUUCAUCACUUGUACUUCUUCACUCAUAGACUCACAUGCUUGCAUUAGAGAUGUGAGACUAGGGUGAACUUGUCUUCUUAUACUCUUCUUCAUGUGUAUUUUAUUUAUGUUUGAAUCCUCCUUAGAGUUUCUUGUCAUAAGUAGUAUUCACUUUUUUGUUCUACAUUACUUCUCUAAUUAUAACAAAAGCACAAUGGAAACAAAAUCUAAAUAGAGGAAGGUCAUCUCUUUAGUUGAUAAAAUUAGGGAAAGUAAGAAAUAUGGAGAAAAAAAAGAAAAAAAAGAGCAGGGAUCUUCAUGGAGAAAAAAAAGAGCUAACCCUAACCCUAACUCGAUUGGAGUCUUAUGAUUUUGGGGACAAAGCCCAUGAAAUUACCAUUUUCGAUGGCCUCCUUCUCUUUCUCUGUAGCUUGGGCUUUUAUGUGGAUCUUGGCCUCCUUAUAUGUCUCUAUCCCUUGACUUCCUCUUGCCCAACUCCUUCUCUGUGUCUUGGCCUCCUCUUUCCCUAGCUCUUUCCCUCCUCUUGGCUUCCUUCUCUUUCCCAACAUCUAUUAGCUUCUCUGUCACACGAGUGCAGUCAUGUGAGUGUUCUCUAGCUCUUGCCCUCCUAUUCACCUCCUUCUCUAUUGUGAAAGUGCACUGUGAGUGUGCUCUAGCUCUUGCCCAGCUCCUAUUUGUCUCCUUGUCUAUCGCGCGAGUGCACUGUGAGUGUGCUAGUCUAUCUCUUUCCCUCGACCUCUUUGCCUCCUCUAUUGCGCGAGCAUGUGUAUUUUGGGCUCUAAUUUGUUCAUGAGUGUGAGAUGCAUGAGCUUUAGUCAUGUAGUUUUUAAUUUGU
rnacentral:ncRNA from 1 species